rnacentral:rRNA from 1 species
GAUGAACGCUGGCGGCGUGCCUAAUACAUGCAAGUCGAGCGAACAGACGAGGAGCUUGCUCCUCUGACGUUAGCGGCGGACGGGUGAGUAACACGUGGAUAACCUACCUAUAAGACUGGGAUAACUUCGGGAAACCGGAGCUAAUACCGGAUAAUAUAUUGAACCGCAUGGUUCAAUAGUGAAAGACGGUUUUGCUGUCACUUAUAGAUGGAUCCGCGCCGCAUUAGCUAGUUGGUAAGGUAACGGCUUACCAAGGCAACGAUGCGUAGCCGACCUGAGAGGGUGAUCGGCCACACUGGAACUGAGACACGGUCCAGACUCCUACGGGAGGCAGCAGUAGGGAAUCUUCCGCAAAGGGCGAAAGCCUGACGGAGCAACGCCGCGUGAGUGAUGAAGGUCUUCGGAUCGUAAAACUCUGUUAUUAGGGAAGAACAAAUGUGUAAGUAACUAUGCACGUCUUGACGGUACCUAAUCUGAAAGCCACGGCUAACUACGUG